AACUUUUGCGAAAAAUGGUUACACAUUGACCCCGGAAAAUAAACAAAAAAAAACAAAUCGCUGUAAUUUUUAUUUCCCGCCAUUUUGUCCAUUGUACAAAUUUGUAACGUGGUCAGUAUUGUGUGUGUGGACUUUUAUAAUCUUUAAAAGGAAUAAAUGGCAUCGGCGGUCUGUUGGGAGGAAAAGCGCCAAAAGUUUGAAGAUGUAGAAAAAGAAAUGGACACACUGAAGCAGAAGACAGAAGAACUUUUAAUCCAAGCUCAUUUCAAAUUGGUUGAUUUUAUCACAUUGUUCAAGCCUGAAAUUUUGGAAGCUUCUGAUGUUGGAUCGAAAAUUGUCUGCAGUAGAUGUAGCAUGAAGAAAGACGGAGUAUGGAAUGAAACCAAGUCUUAAGCUAUUGGUCUUUUUCACAAUUCUACGUUUUGGAAUGGAAAAAAGGACAUUCAUCACUCAUCAGUGCAUUACAGUAAAAUACCUGUAAAUUGCAAAAUUCAA